rnacentral:rRNA from 1 species
UACGGAGGGUGCAAGCGUUAAUCGGAUUUACUGGGUUUAUAGGGUGCGUAGGUGGACAUUUAAGUCAGCGGUGAAAUCUCCGGGCUUAACUCGGAAAUUGCCAUUGAUACUAUUUGUCUUGAAUUAUCUGGAGGUGAGCGGAAUAUGUCAUGUAGCGGUGAAAUGCUUAGAUAUGACAUAGAACACCAAUUGCGAAGGCAGCUCACUACGGAUAUAUUGACACUGAGGCACGAAAGCGUGGGGAUCAAACAGG